rnacentral:rRNA from 1 species
UAACGGCCGCGGUACCCUGACCGUGCUAAGGUAGCAUAAUCAUUUGCCUUUUAAUUGGAGGCUUGUAUGAACGGACACACGAAAACGCAACUUUCUUAUCGAGGAAAAUAAAAAUUAACCUUCAAGUGAAGAGACUUGAGUACCAUAAAAAGACGAAAAGACCCUAUGGAGCUUUACUUAAGUUAUUAAACCACAAAUAAAAAAAGCUUUUUUUACUAAAAAAGUUUAGUUGGGGCGACUAAGGAGCACACACCACCCUCCUACUGACAAAAGACUCUAAAUCUACAAAAGAUCCACAAACGUGAAUAAAAAUCCAGCUACCCUAGGGAUAACAGGCUAAUCCUCCUUAAGAGCUCAAAUUGACAGGAGGGCUUGGCACCUCGAUGUUGGCUUAAGAUCUCUACUAAGUGCAGCAGCUUAGGUAGUAGGUUUGUUCAACCUUUAAAAUCUUACGUGAUCUGAGUUCAGACCGG